CCUGGGAAUGGCGUUUUGAACUGGCAGUCUAGAGUGCGUCAGAGGGGGGUGGAAUUCCACGUGUAGCAGUGAAAUGCGUAGAGAUGUGGAGGAACACCGAUGGCGAAGGCAGCCCCCUGGGAUGACACUGACGCUCAUGUACGAAAGCGUGGGUAGCAAACAGGAUUAGAUACCCUGGUAGUCCACGCCCUAAACGAUGUCAACUGGUUGUUGGGGGAGUGAAAUCCCUUUAGUAACGAAGCUAACGCGUGAAGUUGACCGCAUGGGGAGUACGGUCGCAAGAUUAAAACUCAAAGGAAUUGACGGGGACCCGCACAAGCGGUGGAUGAUGUGGAUUAAUUCGAUGCAACGCGAAAAACCUUACCUACCCUUGACAUGUCCGGAAUCCUGCAGAGAUGCGGGAGUGCCCGAAAGGGAAUCGGAACACAGGUGCUGCAUGGCUGUCGUCAGCUCGUGUCGCGAGAUGUUGGGUUAAGUCCCGCAACGAGCGCAACCCUUAUCAUUAGUUGCUACGCAAGGGCACUCUAAUGAGACUGCCGGUGACAAACCGGAGGACGGUGGGGAUGACGUCAAGUCCUCAUGGCCCUUAUGGGUAGGGCUUCACACGUCAUACAAUGGUCGGUACAGAGGGUUGCCAAGCCGCGAGGUGGAGCCAAUCCCAGAAAGCCGAUCGUAGUCCGGAUUGUUCUCUGCAACUCGAGAGCAUGAAGUCGGAAUCGCUAGUAAUCGCGGAUCAGCAUGUCGCGGUGAAUACGUUCCCGGGUCUUGUACACACCGCCCGUCCCCCCCAUGGGAACUGGAGAGAG
rnacentral:rRNA from 1 species